UUGAUAAAUUAAGUCCUGAACUAUACACUACUAGAUCAUCAGCAAAUUGGAGGGACAUUUAAGGAUAGAAGAAUGGAUGAUAAUUGUUCUAAAUCAACAUUAUUAAAUGCUCCUACAACAUCCAAAAAAACACCAGCCAAUAUCUUAUUGUCAAUCUGGGCACUAUGGAUGUCAAGACAUAAAUGCCGUAUACUCUCACAAGCAGAACGACCACAUCGAAAUCCAAAUUGAUUAUUAGAUUACUGUGUGGAUGAAUGUUGGAUGGAAUUGAAGAAGAUUCAGUUUCCGACACUACCAUGGAAAAUUUUGUGAUUGUAGGCAAGUGAUAGCUGCCCAAAGAGUCCUGAUGAACUUGCCAUUCACAGCACAGGAAUAAUGAAGAUGAUACUAUUGUUAGAUCUAGUCCAUUUGGUCUCCAAGAAUGAGUACCCACUGUAGUU